rnacentral:lncRNA from 1 species
GAUUAACAACGUUGGAAAAAUUUACUACCUGAACUUUAGAAGUUUCCUUUUAUAUGUUCUUAUUAAUUGAUUUCACUAUUCCUAUGCUUUUCACUGUCAUGUCAUCAUUCCCAUGGAAGAUGCACAUGUGGGGGCAUGGGUCGCAGUAUCGAAGAGGGCCAGAGUCACUGAAAGGAACACAGCCUCGAGCCAUGCUAAACAUCCCAUGCUAUUGCUGUGCAGAAGGUUGCAAAAACAACAUAGACCACCCAAGAGCAAAGCCUCUAAAGGACUUUCGGACCCUUCAAACACACUACAAGAGGAAGCAUGGCAUGAAGCCCUUCAUGUGUCGCAAGUGUGGGAAGCUGCUGGCAGUGAAAGGAGACUGGAGAACACAUGAGAAGAAUUGUGGCAAGCGCUGGCUUUGCAUUUGUGGUUCGGAUUUUAAGCACAAGAGAUCACUCAAAGACCAUAUCAAGGCUUUUGGCCAUGGCCAUAGACCUUUUCCACCUAAUUCUUUUGAUGAAGUCAGGGAUCUUGAUGAGGAUACUAGUACCACACCAUCGUUGUUUAAAGGCAUGUCAAGUGACACAACCUCUUAACGCAAAUGAAAAUUUUGUGUUCCCCUCUUGAACUUUUUAUGAUGAAGAAUCGUUGACGAAGAUUUGAAUGAAAAAUUCUAUGAGUUUGAUACACAAAUCAGUUGACUAUUUCCAUGAUAUUUUCCUUUCAGUAGAAAACUGUGGUGUCAUGUAAUUUAGAGAUCAUAUUUGUAAGGGAAAUUCUGAAAAAUAGCCAACUUCUCAGCACUGUAAAGAUUUUUAAAAUAAAAAAAGGUAAAAUUUGAACCAUUUUAACUAAAAAAAGACUUAGAAAGGCAGCAUGGGAAUUAAACUUGGCCACCAAAAGUUAGGAAACAAACAUCAACUGCGCUGCAGCCUGCACACAAUGGUUAGCGCUGCACAAUAAACUUGACUUUAUUGUGAUAAAUAGUUUGUUUCAACUUUCAAGCCCUCCUUGAUGCGAGACCCUAGGAGGUCGCCUCAUGGGACUCCCUUCAGGGCCGACCUCUUGCUAUUUCUUAGAGCAAAUAAUGUUUAUAAUAAUAAGAACUUACUAUGUAUGUGUCUAGCUCUCACGUUACACUACUAAGAAAAACAAUGGGCUUGUUUAUUGGUCUACAAAAGGGGUUUGUAUUGGCAUUUUUGGUGCCUAAUAUAUCGAAGUAGUAAUUUUUAGUAUAUUUGGUACCAAAAAAUUCAAUACAAACCCCUUUUGUGAAGAACCUAUCAUGUUGGCGAGUGUAAAAGUUUCUUUUCUACUUAAUUAGUUUAAGAUCCAUAAAUUGAUAAUAUUAGUGAGAAACACUUACUUUCAAGAGAGUUAAAAAUUUUUGAACAUUUUAGAAUUCCUUAACACUCUCAAAUUUCCUCAUCCCAUGUGCAUGACUUUAAGUGUUUUUCUAAAUUAUGAAUUAGACUUUUGAGAGGCUUAUUUGUGAAAGCCAUUUCUUUUUUCCCCAGUUACAAGUACUUGGGCUUACAAUAAGGCAUUAUUGUGCUUUCUCAGGCAUACACAGGAACUUUUGUGAAAAUGGAUGCUUUAGUGAGGGAACUUGGGUGGACGAUGAGUGGCAGCCUGGCAGGUGCUGGGCCAAAGCCAGCCAACAUCUGUUUUCUUUUUUCAAUUGUAUCCCAAGGUACAAAAGUGAAAUUUAAAGUUUGCCAAAAACUAAAGGGUCACGAAAAGUAAAAAUUCAAAGAGGGAUGAUAGAGACUCAGGUAAUGGUCAUAAUAAUGGAUAAUGCUCUAAAUUACUCGUAUCGAUAAAUGAAAAUUAUAGGGAAAAAAGGUAUCUAAAGAGUACAGCCGCACGGCUAUACUAUUAAAAAAAAUUAGAGAGAACCGAGUAUAGUCGUGCGGCUAUACCAUUGUUUAAAGAACCGAGUAUAGACGCGUUUAUUUUUUAAAAAGACCGCAGCGCUUAGUCUCUCACGUGUAAAAACAGUAUAGCCGUCGGCUAUCGCCCGGCUAUACUAGUUUAAAAAAAUUUAAAAGCUCGUAUAGCCACACGGCUAGACUAUUUUAAAAAAGCAAAAAAAAAAAAAAGAAAAAAAAAAGAGUACCUGCCUAUCCAUUAGCCUCUCACAUUCAUUCAUAGUUAGUAAAAUACAAAACGAAAAAAAAUAUGAAUAAAAUACGUAUGUGUUUUAUCCGGUAAAAUUUUGGCAAAUUACAACUUUAAAGUAUGGCCACUAUAUUAUAUUUUAAUAUAAUUCAUAUACAUUUUUAAUAUAUAUUAUUUUUAUUUAAUAAUUUGUGAGAAUUAUGUGUACAAUACGUGAUUUUUGUGUGUCUUAUUGAAAAUUUUGUAUUAAACACGUGUAUUAAACAUGAAAAAUACAUACGUAUGUGUACGAUACGUGUAUUGUAUGUUGGUUUUUUAAAUACGUAUAUUUUACCGAGUCUUUAAGACGUGUACGAAAAACAGAAGUAUUAUUGAAAAGCACAUACGUGUUUAAUACAAGUAUUAAACGGGAAAAUGCUAAAUUCUUUAAACGGUAAAAACUCACGAAAAGUAAAAACUCAAAAGGAGACAAUAGAGACUCGAGAAAUGGCAUAAUAGUAACAGAUAAUACUCUAAACUACCAUUGUAGACAGAAAUUUCGAGUACCAGAAGAACUUCUUUUGAAUUUAUUUUAAAAAUUUUAUAUAUUGGAGGAUUGGAAUGCAGGACUUCGAAUUCAAGUGUAAACACUCAACCCAUUGAGCUAACAUAAAAUCAAAAGUUGAAAUCACAUAAUUGAUGUCCCUUGCUUGAUAUAGUUUCUUGCCUUUUUGAUGGUUUGCUUGUGACAUGGAAUCAAAAUUCGAAAUCACAUCAUUGAUGUGUAUAUUGAUCAAAUGUUCCAUUUUAAAAUUACAAGAGUUCGUGAAGCAUUAUUAUUAGAUACGCCAACUUGGAAAGCAAGCACAUAAAACAAACAAAAAAGCAAAAAGGAACUUCUCAUGACCCAAGAAAUUCAAAAAAUACACAAAAGCACAUAAAAAUUCAAACAAAAAGGAACUUCUUAUCAGGAACAAGAUGAUCCAAGUAUGGACUGAAACAACUAGUUAGAUUCUAGUCAAUUCAGAUUUCUUGGAGAAAGAAGAACCCGGUUAAUCAUGUUGUCCAAAGCCAAGAAUGAUAACCCAUUUGGACCAGUAGCGGCCUCCUCUGCCAACUUCUUCCAUUCCGUGGCUUUCUUCCUCAUCUCUUUGCCCUUCUCUCCCUCCAUUAAUGUUCGCACAAGGUCCUCUAUGUAGUUUCUUUUAACAUCACCCUCUAUCUCUAUGCCUACGCCCCAUUCUUUGCAACAGAACCUGCAAUUGGUUUGUUGCUCUGCAAAGAAGGGCCAACAGAUCAUGGGCACUCCACCACACAAACUUUCAAGGGAAGAGUUCCAUCCACUGUGUGUCAAGAACCCUCCUACAGCUGGGUGGCUCAGGACUUGUUCUUGAGGGCACCAACUUGAGAAUAGACCCCUUUCUUCGGUCUCUUCCAAAAACUCCGGUGGAACCACAGCGGAUUCUCCAAGAACAAGGUCAGGCCUUAUAACCCAUAAAAAGGCCUUGUUGCUAUUUGCAAGUCCCCAAACAAACUCAAUUAGUUGCUCAGAUGUCAUGACUGUGAUGCUUCCAAAGUUGACAUAAACCACAGAAUUUGGUUCUUUUGAGUCAAGCCAUUCAAGGCACUCUGUUUCUUCUCUCCAUAGAUUUGAUUCAAUCGACUUCAAAUUGUUAUAAUCUGGUGGAAUCUGACUAACCUGUAGUUGAAGGGGUCCAAUGCAGUAAAUAGGUGGUAGCAAAGUCGAAAGUGCAUCCAGAACUUCAAGCUCUAAGGCGUCAAAUGUGUUGAAAAUGAUUGCUGAAGCUUUCUGGGCUCGUUCGUACUCACUCACAAGAUAUUUCAGCAUGAUGUCAUUUGGAUCUGUGGUUCUGACGAAGGUUGGCAAGUCCCUCAAACGAAUAUGUCUCAUGCCUGGUAUCCAAUCUAUUACAGUAUCUAAAUACCCAUUUGUCAAAUAGCUGGCAUCUGCAAAUCAAAUAGGUCUUCUGAGUCAAACAUUCUAACCAAAAAAGAAAAAAAAAAAAGUUAACAAUUUUAUUAUGUAGUGUCCCCAAAUGACCAGUGAGGAAUUUGAAGUAAAUUCCUCUUUUUUUUUUUAAUUGAUUAUUUUUGAAGAUUGAAAUAUUCUUUUAUUAGACAAAUGCGAACGUUGUUAGAUUGAAUAUAUAGUAUACAAGAGUCAACUUGAUUACUAUUCAGAUUCACAUUCUAAUAAUAUAAAUAUUGUUUGACAAGUGAACGUUCUUGUCAGUAUAAUAGUACCUUUAAGAGGAAUUAAACCCUUUUCCAUCAGAGGGAGAUACUGAAGGUAACCCAACGAGCCACAAGCACUCGUUGUUUCGAAAAGAACACAGGGAAUGCCAAAUUCUUGGGCUGCAUCAAGUGAGAAUGUCAUGCCACCAUCAGAAACUAAGCAAGUAACUGGAGGGGAAUGGGGUAAAGAGUUAAGCUUUGAUAAAAGGUCUCUGAAGGGUGCUAAGCAAUUUUUACUAGUGGAAAGGCAUAGGGAUGGUAUGUCUUGGGUGGCGUUGUCAUCAGAUGGAGGGAGGCCAUCAGGAAUGGUCUCGAAUUGAAAGGAGGGGAGGCCGUCGAGAGAGUUGGGACCUCGAGAUUUAAGGAGGCGUUUGUGGUUGAACUCUGUGUUCACAAAGGUUAUAUGAAAACCUUUGUAGUGGAGGAGCUUAGCUAAUUUCAGCAUUGGGGUUAUGUGACCUUGAGCUGGGUAGGGUAUGCAAACUGCAUGUGGCUUCUUUGUCAAGGCAACAGAACCCAUUCUCUCGUUUCUCUCAAAUCACACACAAAACCUAUGGAAAAUAGGAUAUGCUAUGGUGAAGAGCACCUGCAGUUUUAUAGCAGUGACAUACAAUGUCAAUAAUUGGUGGUCAAUCAUGGACCUGGACAUGUACAUUGUAUUCUCUGAUCAACUUUGCCACAUUUUUAAAUCAUGACCAUUCCUUUUAUUUCCAUUCCGCACCAAUCAUGUCUAAUUAACGACAAAUCGUUAUGUUCUUCAAUCUAGAAUGCGAGAAACGUGUGAAACAGAACAUGUAUAAUCACUAUAUUCCUCAGGCAGAUGUGAGCCAUACCCAAGUUUGGCCAAGCCCAAAAGCAAGACUUGUUUGGGCAAGCUAACCUCACGUUGACGUCAAUAGCCAAUUUAAAUAUUAAAAAAACGAGAAAAAAAAAUGAAAAAAUUCAGAAUUUUUUAUAUAUAAAUACCUAGUCAUAUUCUUCACUUCUCACACCAAAACUCCAUAUAAAUUUAUCUCCUCAUAUUUCAUGUGAAUAGUUGUUGCUCUUGAGUUGCCAUAACAAUGGGUGGGAAUGCAUAAAAAAGAUUUGCUAAGGCAGUCACUAUUCAUAUGAACAGUAAUAGUCCUUGUCUUUUGCCAUGGCAAAUGGGUGAUAGUACUCUAAGAAGAGGGACAUUGCACCCAACGAAAACUAGGUCAAAGCAUAAUAAACAUGAAUGGGCGAAAUAAUCUACGCGAAACCUAGCAAAUAAUAUGAGGCAUAGUUGUAAAAACUAAGGAUAAUAUAGUAAAUUAACAAUUUUUCAUAUUAAAAUUUUUUUUAAAUCAAAAUCAAAGUAAAAACAUGGUCCUAUUUUCACGAGACACAAAAAUCAAACUCAUUUUCUCUUUCGUAAUUUUAAAGUUAAAAAAAAAAAAAAAACAACUAGUGUAUCGGCUAAGUAAGAUAUGAGGAACAAUACGGCUUUUUAUAAAUUCAGCCAGAUAACUCAUGGUGUGGUUACUAAUCAGGAAUUGGAAUUCUCAUCAGGAAUUGAAUUCCACUUAUAGAGGAAUCCUGUGUUUAUUUCGUAUCAAGGAAUUGAAAAGUGAGUGGGGUCCGCACGAAAUUAGGAUUUGAAUUCCUAAUUUUGGAGGAAUUCAAUUCUUGGAUGGGAGGUGAUAUUCUAAUUCUUGGAGAAUUAACCCAUUAGGAAUUUAUCUUUUUUACCCAUUAUAUCCUCACACAAUUUUCAAAUUUUCAAAUUUGCCAUCUACUUAAACCCAACAACUAGGACGAUUUAGUAAUUAGUACCACUCAUACCCCAAUUCUAUAUGGUUUAGUAAACAACUUCAAUGAAAAUCUGAAAUCUAAUUCUCCUUAAUCCAACUCUUCCUCAAUUCAAUUUCUUUUAAUCCAAUUACGAAUAAACAUGCCAUCAGUUGCUUGUUCGGCCUGGUGUCUGAUAUUCAUUAUAAGUUGGGCUGAGCCCUUUUGGGCUUGCCUUGUUUUGGAACUUCUUUUUUUAUUUUUCUUUUUUGUGCUUAAUAUAUUUUUGUUGUACAGAAAAAAAAAAAGAAAAAAAAAGAAAAAGAAAGUGAUAACAGCACCGAUCGAGCUUUCAUGAAAGCACAUGUAUUCAUAGUACAAUUAUAGAGAGAGCACGUCAUCUUAGCCAACUUGCAUAUUAAUCCAAAAACCUGCCAAGGAACAUGGUAUGCAAGCAGUAUCACCACUGGCACCACAGAUAUCUGAUUUCUAAUGUCAUGCUAUGUUUCAUACGGCAGAUGGAUAGGGCUUUAAAGCACAAAUCAGAUCUUCCAAAUCUCGGCAAAAAUUUACCUAUUUCAUUGCAUCAGCUCCCAAGAAAAUGCCAGUCCUUGAGCCAUAUUAGACAUCCAUUUCUUUUUGUCGUGCUAAAUAUUGAAAAGCCAACAUGGAGUGGACCACCUAAGAGCAAACAAAUCCUUUAAGAGUCGGUCCAUUUGGAUGGAGUGAUUUCAAAUUCCGGGAGUUUGAAGAAAUUAUAAGGUUAAAUUUUUUUAUUUAGAUUAUUACGAUAUAUGUAUACUAAGAUUUGAAUAAGAAUGAAAUGACGAAAACAAAUGAAUUAUUGCACAUAGUCAUUUGAAACUCAUUCCGAAUAUACUAUAUUUACGGCUAGUUAUCUCAAACACAUUCGAUCUAAUCUUUUCUUUCUGCGACUUCCAUCCAAACGGAGCCAGAUUUCGGGCCUUUCAAACGCACUACAACAGGAAGCAUGACAUUGACAUGGAAGCCCAUUACGUGCAGCAAGUAUGGCAAGUAGUUGGCAGUGAAAGAUGACCGGAAACGCAUGAGAAGGAGCAAGCGUUGGAUUUGCAUUUGUUUUUGUGGUUCAGAUUUCAAGCACAUCACUACAAAAAGUAAGUGGAAGAUGUUGACAUAUAUGGAGAAAUCUCCAAUGCUGUCUAUAAUUAUUGUUAGGUUUGAAUAAUUCUCAUGGUAACAAAAAAUGUGAAGACACGGAUGCCAGAGAACGAAAGACAAGGGCUGCAUGGAAAUUAUUAUUAUAUUUUGGUCGAAAGAUGGAAAUUAUUAGAAAAAGUACAAAUAAGUGCCCGUCACACUCCAGACAAGUGGGCAUUUGCGUGAGAUUCCACUCCUACAUGCCCUUUGGAGGAGGGAAAGGUUAAAAUUUGUUUGAGUUGUUCUUCUUUAUUUUUCCAUUUAUCAACAUGACUUUCUACUUAUAAUUGUAUUUUGAAGUGAGAAUUAGUGCUUAAAACAUGGAAUUAAUUAGUGGAUACAAGUGAGGUCCGAAAGAGAAAAGUGAACUCAGUUUGUAUUUUAGUAAAUAUAUGGAAGAAAACUCCAUUUAGAUCCAAAACUUGAAUUGGAAAAUUUUAAUUUUAUUUCCUGAUACCAUUUUCGGUAAAAUUCUACGCGUCUCAAUUAUACAACCAGCCAAAUUAAGCUAAUACAAACGGUUUGAUUGAGUUUUUACACUAAAAAAGUUAAUCUUAAACGAAACUGAACCAAAUAGCAAUUAUUCAUGAAAGCUACAUAAACCGAAUCAAACUACCUAUAUUAAUCUUUGUUUUUUUUAACACCUAACAUUUUCUGUAUUGGUUAUUAUCACCAUCUCAUGUGUUUGUUUCAUUCCAUAAUGCACCUCCUUUUUAUUAUUAAACUUCUCCAUCUUCAAUGGAACUAAAAUGUUUGCUUAAUUAUUGUUUAUGCCACUAGUUUAAGAUCUAAAGCAAACAUGAUAUUAUAUUACAGUUCGGAUAAUGAUCAAAACCGAAGGUGAUAAUGUAUUAAAUUGGCGUGAUGUUCUAGGUGUAAACUAAAGUGAACUAAACAAGGCGGAUCCCUUCAAAGCGCCGCUGAUUGCAUUGCAUGCAUAAGAUUGUGAUGCAACACUGGAGUCUGGAGAGCCAUGAAGCCAAUGCACAUUAACACUGGAGUCUGGAGAGCCAUGAAUUCAAUGCAAUGUGCAUUGGCUGUUGGACUAAUUCGUAAUAAACAUUAGAUAUUAAUUGAUGAUCUGACGAAGCCGUUCAUAAGCAAUGAAUAUGUAUAUUUGUGCGUUAUAGAGUGAUACGGUAUCAUCACGUCAACUAGUGAUAUUCUCAUUUAAAAUUUGAUAUGUAUCAAUUUUAAAAGAAAAUUAAAAAACAAUUACACAUGAACUUUGUCUUUCAAGUUCACCCUUCAACAUUAAUUAGACCUAAUCCCUCUCCCACCAUCUCUUCUCUCUUUUCCCUCGCCACCCACCCCAGCCUUUCUCUCCCUUCUCCUCCAACAUCACCAACCCCUCUUUACCUCCCUCUCAUUAACGCAUUAAGAAAAAACCAAAAAUCUUGUCUUGAAUAUAUAUGUGCAAAUCAGAAAUAUUCAAAAGCAUCUUCUAUGAUGAUAAGUUGACAACCCACAAAUGAAAGAAAUGUAAUGAUGGAUGUUUUGGGCAACCAAGUAACCUGGUAGACAGAUUGCCGAUGGGAUCUUGGUGGGACACUGCUACAAUCUUGUUUUCUUUUUCAUGUUUUUCAAAAAAAGUUAAAUAAAAUUUAUUCAGAGUAAAGUUAGAAGACAAAGUACAACUAUGAAAAAAAUAUAAUUAUUUUUUUAAAAUUGACACGUGUUAGAUUUUGAGUGGGAGUAUCACCCGUUGACGUGGUGAUACCAUCUUAUUCUAUAAUUUCUCCUGUGCAUAAAGCCAUAUUAUAUUAUUAGACAACUAUAUAUAUAUAUAUUUUUUUUUUCUGCAAUGAAUUUAAGCUCAAUCUCAGUAGAAACUAUUAUAUUUCGUUUGGUGGUUCGGAUUAAAUUAGAUUAGAAUUGAAUUUAAGCUAGUUCUUAUUAGUCUUAUUCAUUUUUAUAAGAUACAAUAUGUAGAAUGGUUGUCCAUUUUAAUAAGAUCAUUUCCGGAGCACCGAAACAAUUAAGACUAUAACCAUUUAAUUGAUAUAGUCCAGUACAAUCCCACCCAGGGGCAGUUCUACACCUAGGGCAAGGUAGGUUGCUGCCUAUCCCAAAUUUUUCAAAAAGGAAAAAAUACCCAUAUGUAAUAGGCCAACCCAUGUGAAACAUACAAACCUAUGCCCACCCAAAAAGCAACCCACAUGUAUGCAUAAUCUAAAAUUUCUCUCCUCCUUAAUUAUCUUCUCUUUAAUUUCCUACCUCCAAAUUUUAAGAUGUUGUAUAUGACAACAUUGAAUAUAACAUAUUUUAAAUAGGUUAGAAGUUAUGUGUUCUAAUCAAUUUUAGGGUUUACUUAAGAAUGAAUUAUAAUUUGUUGACUUUGUUGAAAUUAAUUAGGUCUUUGGAAUUUUGUUGAGAUGUUUGAUUUGAUAUUGGUAUUGUUGAGAAGUUUGAUUUGUUGUUGGUAUGUUAAUGUUUGAUUAAAGUCAUUGAUGCUAUUAUGACAAUUUAUUUGAUUUUUUGUUGGGAUGUUGGAUUAAAUAGGUUAUCUUUUGGGAUGCCUAUGCCUAUGCAAUCUUAGUUGGGAUGCCUAUGCUAGAGUUUCUUCGAUCUUGCCUGAUCGUUAGUGGAGACAUACAUGAUUUUCUUAAUUUUAAUAUUAGACCACUCUGUUAUUGUAAUGAUCCUUUUGUGGCUAGUUUGUAUUGACCUUUUAUGGCUAGUGGCUUUUUUGGCUGAAUUAUGAAUGCAAUCAUAGAAUUUCUCAAAAAAAAAAAAAAAAAAGGUUAUCUUUUGUUAUAUCGGAUCACAAUCUGAACCCCAAGAAAACAAAGAAUUUUUUGGAUUUUUUUUUAUAAGAAAAAGAAUAGGUUUUUUUUUUUGGCUAAACUUUUAUUUAUAUAUAGAGAUGUAUUUGAGGGUAAGACUUAUUACGUCCCCCUACUAAAGUGUAUAUUUUUAUGUUUUUUUUUUUUUAAUGAGAUUCACUCAUAACAUUGAGUUUUUAAUGUAGACUUCGCCCAACUGAAUUUCGAAUCUUGAAUCCACCAUUAAUCUCACCCACUAUACACACAUGAAACUGCAAAUUAAGAACAGAAAUAGUACCCUUUAUUUAGAUUAAUAGGCAGUUGAAUUUCUCAAAAGCCUCGGCAAACGGUACAUAUUUUAUUUUUUUUAUCAGGAACUGGAUGAUCCAAAUACAGAUUAAAACACCAGAAAGAAAAAAAAGAACAAGAUGGAAUUGAAUCAAUUCUAAUCUCUUGGGGAAAGAAGCACUUUGCUAACCACAUUUUCCAGAGCCAAGUAAGACGACCCUUUUGGGGCAGUGGCGUCCUCUGCCAACUUCUUCCAUUCAAGGGCUUUCUUCCUCAUCUUUUUGCCCUCUUCUCCAUCCAUCAAUGUCCUCACAAGACCGUCAAUGUAAUCUCUUUUAACUUCCCCGUCUAUCUCAAUGCCUAUGCCCCACUGUGUGCAGCUGUACCUAACAUUUGUUUGCUGCUCUGCAAAGAAAGGCCAGCAGAUGAGAGGCACUCCGCCACACAAGGCCUCGAGGGUAGAGUUCCAGCCACUGUGAGUCAAGAACCCUCCAAUGGCUGAGUGGAGCAGAACCUGUUCUUGAGGGCACCAACUUGCCAACAUACCCCUCUCUUUGGUCUCCUCCAAAAACUCAGGCGGCACCACAGCGGUUUCUCCAGCAACAAGGCCAGGCCUGAUGAUCCACAAAAAUGGCUUCUUGCUAUUUGCAAGUCCCCAAGAAAACUCAACCAGCUGCUCAUUUGUCAUGACUGUGGUGCUUCCAAAGUUGACAUAAACCACAGAGUUGGGCUCUUUGGUGUCCAGCCAGUUAAGGCACUCUGUAUUCUCUGCCCACAGGUUCGAUCCGAUCGCCUUCAAAUCAUUGUAUUCUGAUGGAAUCUCGCUGUAUGGUAGCUGAAGGGGUCCAAUGGAGUAAAUAGGAGGUAGCAAAGUGGAAAGGGCAUCCACAACUUCUUGCUCCAAGGCAUCAAAUGUGUUCAAAAUAAUAGCAGAAGCCUUUUUGGAUCGCUCUGUUUCAGACACCAUAUAAUGCAGCAUGAUGUCGUUUGGGUCUGUGGUUCUAAUAAAGCUAGGCAUGUCCUUCAAUCUGACAUCCUUCAUGCCUGGGAUCCAAUCAAUCUCUGUAUCCAAAUACCCAUUUGCAAAAUCCUUGGCAUCUGCAGAUCAAAUUAAGAAAUCAAUGGAACUAGUUAGCUAACACUCUUUAAGUUUUUUUUAAAAAAAGUGAACUUCUGUUUUUUUUUUUCCCUGAAUGAUUAAUUGAUAGUACCUUUAAAAGGAGUGAGGCCCUUCUCAAUGAGACGGUAAUACUGAACGUAGCCCAUCAAGCCACAAGCACUAGUUGUCCAGAAAAGCACUUCUGGGAUCCCGAAAUGCUCUGCUGCAUCAAGGGUGAAGCUGGUGACACCAUCAGCAACAAUACAAGUCACAGGAGGGGAAUCGGGUGAAGAGUUGAGCUUGGUCAAAAGCGCCUCGAAGGGUGCCAAGCAGGUUUUACUAGUGGAAUCGCACACCAAAGGCAAGUUGCGCCUGGCAUCGGCAUCAGCCGGAGGGAGGCCGUCGGGAAUGGUUUCGAAUCGAAACGAAGGGAGGCCGUCGAGAGCGUGGGAACCUUGGGAUUCAAGCAUGCGCUUGUGGUUGAACUCUGUGUUCACAAAGGUUAUGUGGAAGCCUUUGUAGUUGAGGAGCUUGGCUAAUUGCAGCAUAGGGUUUAUGUGACCCUGAGCUGGGAAGGGUACAAAAACUGCAUGUGGCUUCUCUUUGGAGGCAACUGGACUCAUUUUCUCUGUAUGAUAUCCUAGACAAAAGAGCUGAAGGGAAAUGGAGAUGAUGGGAUGCUAAGAGAAGUGUAAGAACUUGCAGUUUUAUAGUGGUGAAGGGUCAAGGGCUGCACUGUGCGGGCAAGUGCUUCUUGACCGUUGAUGCAUUUUUCGGAUUCUCUAUCUGUUUUUUUAAGAUAAAUUGAGUGCCAGUCAUUCCUCGUGGUAUGAUUAUUAUAAUCUCAGAGAUCGACCUUUCCAAAUGAGUCCAAGGCCACGGUGUCCAGAACAAAUGCUCGCACAACUACUGCCUGAUUAGUGUGUUAGAUUGGAGACAUUGUCGCAUGGCAAGUGUGAAAUGUGUGAAAUGUAUGUAGACUUCAAAACGCACACAAGGUUCAGUCAUAAUCAGAAGAGAAAUGCUGGCCGGCAACUUUCAUAAUUUCAUGGGCCAUACUCUUUUAAAUAAAGAUGUAGAAAGUCUUUAAAAAAAGGAGAAGUUUUAGAGAAUAAAUUACAUUGGGAAAAAGAAAAAGAAGUUUCACACUUUCAUUUUUUUCACUUACACUCGUGCAAAGAUAACUAGUCUUAAAUGAUUAUUCAGUAAUUUAUAAAAUAAAAUAAAAUAACAAACUAUGCUCCUGUGUAUAAGGUUGCAUUUUAUGAAGAACAAACAUUAUUUGUCACCAUCAAUUAUGGAUGUUAUUACUUUUUGGUUUAGUUUAAUAUUGAAAAGAGGGAAUAAAUACAUGACCUUGGUUAUAACUUAUAGGGACAAAUAUUCUAAGUCACUUCAGCCCCUUAUAAAAUUUCAAAUUUGACUAAACCAUAUCAUUUUUCAUCUUGACUACCCUACAAUCUCAUUAAAUCUUUCUUUUUCCAUUUGCCUAUGCUAGUCACCAGUCAUUAGAAAAUCCUUGUGGCUGGAUGUCGAAGAGUCUAUGCCAAUGCCCAUUAGUUAUUCCAUUUGAAAGAACAUGUGCUUUGUUUUAUGCAUUUACUUUUUAUUUUAUUUUAUACAAGCGAUAUUGAGGGGAGAGAAAUCGAACUUAGGACCUCGGGUGUAAGUGUAUUUGUUCUUAAUCACUUGAGCUACAAACAGGGGCAGAGCCAUUAAAGGAUUAGUGUGGUCCCAUGCCCCCACUCCAUCUUUUAUUCAUUGUAUUAUAAUAUUAUGUAUGAUGUAUAAUAUUUAACAUAUUAGACUAGUUUUAGGAGAUAUUUAUCCUAAAAUAAAUAGUAUAUUUUUUGUAUUUUUUGUCUACAACAAUAAAACUUCUUAAUCACUUUUUUAUUUCUCUCUUUUACCUUCUAGAUUAGUUUAUGAUAUUUACACUAAAAACUCCUACAUUUUUAACCUUUCUUUCUCUUUUUCUUUUGUGUAAGUUAAACUUUGUGAAUUUUUAUUUCCCUCUCUUUUUUCAUAGAUUUUAUGAACCCCUUUUGUAUUUAUUCUCUAUGUUGGAAUAUAAAUUAUUAAUUUGUGAGUUUAUAAUAUUUUAGAUGAUGAGAUUAGUACUUAACCAUUAUAAAAUAUGAAAUUGCGGACAAUUAUGAUUGUAAUGAAUGGAUAUAUUAAUCAAUAUAAAAUGAUGUUAUGAAGUAGGCCAAAAGGAGUAGUUUAAUUAGUGUCAUAUUAAUUUAGCAUAUUCUUAAUAAACUUGUGAAUGAGAAUGACUCCCUUUAAUUUGAAAUCCUGAUUCUGCCAUUGACUACAAGUCCCUUGCACAUUUACCUUUUUCAUUUAAGUCUGAAGAAUGCCUUGUAAAAAUGUAAAACGAAAACUAUUAUUGACACUGCAAAGAAAACAUCAUACAUUAAUUCAUUCAAUUGUAAUUUCUCUUAUGAUUUUAUAAUUUUUUAGAAUUCCAAUAACAGCUCUGGAUAAAAUUCAUUAGAAAGAAGAAUUGAAGUAUGUUCAAACAGAUUUCAAAAUAGACUAAACAAUUUAUCAGUAACAACUUUUGUCAGCUUAAUUCCAUUUGUGUGUCAAUUUCGUCCUUAUUAUCAUAAAUUCUGUUAUCAGUAAACAAUCCCCAUAUCAAACAGAGUGUUCAGUUAAGGACAGUGACAAUCGAGCAAUAUUGCCUGACGAAACACCAAACCAGAACUUAAAAUCACGAUAAAAAGGAAAAGAAAGACGUGCUGUCUUCAAUGAGAAAACCAACUUCAGAUCUAUUCUCACACCAAGUGAAAACAUAAGGACAAGAUUGAUGAAAUCGAUGACACAUUAACACUACAACACUGGGCGAAACUCGAGUUUCAUUGUGUUGAAAUGAGUGAUACGAGUGUGCCUUAAUCUAAGAAACAUUGCACACCGCCCAAAAAAAUACUCAAUAAUUGUAUUUUGGUCAAACAAAAAAGAUGAGCAAAUUACAAAAAAAGUAAAAAUAAAAAUAAUCAGGGAAUUCAGAAGAUGUUAUAAAGUAAUAAGCGAAGCCCAUAUAAAGAAAGUAAAAGGAUAUUAGUCAAAAGAUGAAAUUAUGAUGUUGCGUAAAAGUAUCAUUAUGUCUCCUUUAGAUGCCAUUUGCUUUGCCUAUAAAUAGGCAUCAUUUUACUUGUAAAGAUACAUGAAUGGAGAAAAGAAGAGAAAGAAGAGAAAGUGAGAGGAAAUAAGAGAGAGUGAGAAAUCUGAGUGUGUGAGUUCUGUCUAAGAAGAAAUUCUAUCAGUGUAAACAUCAUAAAGAGCAAAUAUAAUUUCACUCCCAAUAUUCAGUGGUACUUCUCAUACUCUUUAAUUUCUUUAGUUUUAUAACACGUUAUCAGCACAAUAGUCUCUCCUUUUUAUUUCUAAAUUUGUCCCAGUGUGCUCAACACUAUGUGGUUAUUUCUCUGUCUCCUCUCUGUCAUAUGUCUCAUCUCACUUUACUACUACGACGACAUGCAAACUUUCUUUUUUGUGUUCUCACAAUUUUUAUGUUGUUUCAUCCAUGCUUGUUUAAUUUACUUCUUUGUAACGUAAUUUGGAAUGAUGCCGUUUUAUACCCCAUCAUGUUGUUUUAUGGUGGUGUAAUUUUUAUUACCCAUCACGUUGUAACACAAAUUAUCAUAAUAAAAUGAUGGUGUGAUCUUAAAACCCAUAUAUUAUAUUUUGAAUAGUGGCGCAGUUAUAUUGCCUGCAAUAUAUAAUAUGUUAUAUACUUUAUAUAUUUUAGGUGGUGGUUUUUGUCUCCACAUUUACUUUAACAAAAUGGACGGUUUUCACCUCCUAUAUUUUUCAGUGGUGGUUUUAUCCCCACAUUUAUUUUAUUUAUGGUAUAGAGUAGGUUUAUUACUCAUACGGCAAUAUUUAUUUAAAAAUGUGGCACGGGUUUAUCGUCCACACAGCUGCCUUUAUUUUUAUUUAAAAGUAUGGAGCAGAAUUAGUCCCCCUGCAAGCACAUUUGCUUUAUUAUUGUAUGGUGUGGAAUUAACCUCCAUACAACAAGCAAUUUACUUUAUGAAUUUACUUUACUGCACAUUUUCUUUCAUUUAAGGUAUAGUGCGAAUUUAUCGUCCAUACCAGCAAAUUUAUGGCACUUUAUUUUUAUCAUCAAUUAAUAUACCUGAAUAAUGAGGGCCUGAAGUUCCUAUUAAUAAGUGGCUUAAUGUCCCAGAUCCCAAGCCUAAAGUUUCGGAUGGCAAAUUUGGCAAAACUGAAGUUUACUGCCUUGGACAUUUCUGGAGACAACUAUUUAUCAUGGCUUUUGGUUGCCAAAAUCCAUCUACGUGCCAAUGGCCUCGUACAAACAAUUUUAUAUGGGAAUGAUGAUUUGCCUGAAGAAAAUGCGAAGGCCAUGAUCUUUCUUCGUCACCACAUCCAUGAAGCGCUGAAAAGCGAAUAUGUGGUGGUUGAUGAACCGUUGGUUCUAUGGAAAGCUUUAGGUGAAAGAUACGAUCACUAGAAGAUGGUGACCUUCCCAAGAGCUAGAUAUGAAUGGACCUACUUGAGAUUUCAAGAUUUCAAGACAGUGUCCGAGUACAACUUUGCUAUGCACAGAAUUACCUCAUUGAUGAGGCUAUGUGGUGAAAAUAUAUCUGAGGAGGAUAUGCUCGAAAAAAACUUUGAGCACUUUUCAUGCUUCAAAUGUCCUCCUGUAGCAGCAAUACAGACAUAGCGGUUUCAAGAAGUACUCGGAACUUGUAUCUUGCCUCUUGUUAGUUGAGCAGAAUAAUGAACUCUUAUUAAAGAAUCACCAAUCUUACCCAACGGGCUCAGCACCACUUCUUGAAGUAAAUGUUGCAUCUCAAGAAGUGAAUGUCACCUCAUCCCGUGGCAAUAUCCACAGACGUGGACAAAAAGGCAAGCGUGGCUGCUGGCAAAGAAGCAAAAAAGAUCGUGGUGCUCGUUCAGAUGGUUUAGGUUCAAUGAGCAAUCAUCCACGAAUGGCAAAAAUGCAUCCCGUAAUAAGGGGAAGGCACGGACGAGCCAUGUGCCUAGAAAUGUGGGAAGUACUUGUCACAGAUGUGGUGCAAAGGGACAUUAGGCGCGUGAAUGUCAUACGCCCAAGUAUUUGGCAAGCUCCAAAAGAGUCAAGAAAUUAAAGUCAGACAAAUCCGCUCAAACGAUAACCUGGCAGAUCUCUUCACCAAAUUAUUGCCAAAAUGUACAUUUCAAAAGUUAGUGCAUGGCAUCGGAUUACGAUAACUCUUCAAGCAAUCAAAUUGAAACAUGCAAAAUUAGGGGGAGCAUUCAAGAGUCCACUAACACAGGACAUAUGAGCGUUGUACUCUUUUUCCUUCGACUAGGGUUUUUCCUAGCAAGGUUUUAACGAGGCAACAUGAGCGCAUUUAACAUUACCCUUAUGUCCUAAAUAAAGUUGUACUCUUUUUCCUUCAUUUAUGUUUUUUCCCACUGGAUUUUUUCAAGUAAGUUUUUAAUGAGGCAACCAAUCUAGGGACAUGUAGUCUCCAAGGGGGAGUGUUAUAAAGUAAGAAGUGAAGCCCACAUGAAGAAAGUAAGGAGGUAUUAGUCAAAAGAUGAAAUUAUGAUGUUGGGUAGAAGUAUCAUUAUGUCUCCCUUAGAUGCCAUUUGCUUUGCCUAUAAAUAGGCAUCAUUUUACUUGUAAAGAUACAAUAAUGGAGAAGAGAAGAGAGAGAAGAGAAAGUGAGAGCAAAGAAGAGAGAGUGAGAAAUCUGAGUAUUUGAGUUCUGUUUGAGAAGAAAUUUUGUCAGUGUAAACACCAUAAAGAGAAAAUAUAAUUCCACUCUCAAUAUUCAGUGGUACUUCUCAUACUCUUUGAUUUCUUUAGUUUUAUAACAGUAGACAAAUUCUUCAGCUACACCACCCAAGAAUUUUUCCUGGAAAUAGAGUUUUGAAAGUGGUACCAAGGACAAGUUCAUGUGACAAAAUUAAUACAUUCUAAUUUUUGGAAGAUAGAAGCACCUUGUUAACCAUUUGUUCCAAAUCCAAAAAGGAUGAUCCAUAUGGACCAGUAGUAGCCUCCUCUGCCAACUUCUUCCAUUCCAAGGCUUUCUUCCUCAUCUUUUUGCCCUCCUCUCCCUCCAUCAACUUUCUCACCAGCUCCUCCACAUAAUUUCUUUUCACAUCAUCCCCUACCUCCAACCCUACGCCCCAUUCUCUGCAGCUGUACCUACAAUUGGUUGGCUGCUCUCCACAGAAGGACCAACAGAUCAGAGGCACACCACCGCACAAACUUUCCAGUGUAGAGUUCCAUCCACUGUGCGUCAAGAACCCUCCCACCGCUGGGUGGCUCAGGACUUGUUCUUGAGGGCACCAAUGAGCCAAUAGAGACCUGUCUUUCGUCUCUUCCAAAAACUCUGCUGGAACCACAGCUGAUUCUCCCCUAACAAGGUCUGGCCUAAUCACCCAUAGAAAUUUUUUUUUGCUAUUUGCAAGUCCCCAAGCAAACUCAAUCAGCUGCUCAUUUGUGGUGACUGCAAUGCUUCCAAAGUUGACAUAAACCACAGAGUUGGGUUCUUUGGUGUCUAGCCAUUGAAGACACUCUGGCUCCUCUGUCCAUAGGUUUGAAACAAUCGACUUCAACUCGUUCUCUGCUGGGAUCUGUUUGAGUUGUAGGUUUAGGGGUCCAAUGGAGUAAACAGGUGGAAGCAAAGUUGAAAGUGAGUCUAUGACUUCAUGUUCCAAGUCAUGAAAUGUGUUCAGAAUGACGGCGGAAGCUUUCUUAGUUCUCUCUGUUUCACCCACCAGAAAAUUCAGCAUGAUAUCAUCUGGCUCUGUGGUUCUCAUGAAGGUUGGCAAGUCCUUCAAACGGAUGUUCCUCAUGCCUGGUACCCAAUCUAGCACAGUAUUUAAAUGCCCGUUUGUAAAAUAACUGGCAUCUGCAAAAUCAGAUUAACAAAGUCUGUUAUGUUUUGUUCAGAGGGAAAAACGGCAGUUUACUCUUAAUCAGACAAUUGAUUGAUUGAUUAAUACCUUCAAAAGGAGUGAGACCUUUUUCUAUGAGUUGAUGAAACUGAACGUAGCCCAUGAAACCACAAGCACUAGGUGUCCAGAAAAAAACUGCGGGAACACCAAGUUCCUGAGCUGCAUCAAGAGUGAAACUCAUAACACCAUCAGUGAUUAAGCAAGUGACACGUGGGGAAUCAGGCGAAGAAUUGAGCUUGGAGAGAAGGUCUCUGAAGUGAGGCAAGGAGUGUUUGCUAGUGGAAUCACAUAAGGAUGGUAUGUCUUGGGUGGCAUCGGCAUCGGUUGGAGGAAGGCCAUCGGAAAUGGUCUCGAAUCGAAACGUGGGGAGGCCGUUAAGAGCGUCGGGACCUCGAGAUUUAAGGAGGCGUUUGUGGUUGUACUCUGUGUUCACAAAGGUUAUGUGGAAGCCUUUGUAGUGGAGGAGUUUGGCUAAUUGCAUGAGAGGGUUUAUGUGACCUUGAGAUGGGAAUGGCACGAAGACUGCAUGUGACUUCUUUGAGGUCAAGGCAAUUGAACUCAUCCUCUCUCCCGUCUCUCCCA